UGAAGUGGCCAAAGUACCUUAAAUGUACCAGAUCCUAUCUGAUUUUGGAAGCUAGAUAGGGUGAUCCCUGGUUAGUAUUUGGAUAGGAGAUUGCCAACGAUUAAGAAACCCUGUGAAAUUCAUGAGAUGGCUUUGA
rnacentral:rRNA from 11 species